UACAGAGGUCUCAAGCGUUGUUCGGAUUCAUUGGGCGUAAAGCGCGCGUAGGUGGCUUCGUAAGUCCGUUGUGAAAGUCAAAGGCUCAACCUUUGAAAGCCGAUGGAUACUGCGGAGCUAGAGUACGGAAGAGGCGAGUGGAAUUCCUGGUGUAGCGGUGGAAUGCGCAGAUAUCAGGAGGAACACCAAUAGCGAAGGCAGCUCGCUGGGACGUUACUGACACUGAGGCGCGAAAGCGUGGGGAGCGAACAGG
rnacentral:rRNA from 1 species